GUCUCUGUAGCGCAGUGGAUAGCGCGUUAGACUUCUAAUCCAAAGGUCGUAGGUCCGAAUCCCACUUGGGAUG
rnacentral:tRNA from 1 species